CGGGAAUAAAAUAUUUAGUAUAUCUCUUUACUUCCAAACUACUGUAAAAAAGUUGGAAGUAAGAGAAUAUUUUCCUAGUAUUUACAAUUUUAAUUAUAAAAUCUCUUUAUGUGAAAUAGUUAAUAUAAAUUUAUAGAAGAUAAAUUUGUUUUUUUUAUUGUAUAAAAAUAGGUUUUUAAAAAGUUCUGGCGAAGCCUGUGCCAGCCGCCGCGGUUAUACAAGCAGAACAUAAUAUUUGUGUAAGAUUUAAUGUUAUAUUUUUUGUUUAACUUUAAUUAAUUAGGUAAAAUUAUUAAUUUUUAAAAAUUGUUAUUAUUGUUAAAAUUUGUAAAAAAAAAUAGGAUUAGAUACCCUAAUAUUGCAAAAUGUUAUUUUGGGAGUGUCUUGUAUGUUGAAAAAACUAAAUGAGAUGGCGGUAUUUUAAGCUUUUUAGAGGAAUUUAUUCUUUAAUUGAUAAAACUCAAGCAUCUUACUUGAUUUGGUUAAGGCAGCUUGUAUAUCGCUAUCAUUUUAUGAUGUUGUCCGAUUAUCACAAAAAUAGGAAUUUACUUAGAAUGUUAGGUCAAAAUGCAGCAUAAAAUUAAGUUUGAAAUAGAUUACAGUGAUUUUUAUUAUUUUUAUUUGAAAAAAUUAUAUAGGAUUUAAUAGUAAGUUUUAAUUAUAAUGUUAAAUUGAAUUGAGCUCUAAAAUAUGCACAUAUCGCCCGUCGCUCUCAUUUGUGAGAUAAGUCGUAACAAAGUAAAAGUACCGGAAGGUGUUUUU
rnacentral:ncRNA from 1 species